rnacentral:miRNA from 1 species
CAUUAAUUUGUUCCCCUCCUA